rnacentral:rRNA from 1 species
AUUGAACGCUGGAGGCAGGCCUAACACAUGCAAGUCGCGCGAGCGGCGGACGGGUGAGUAAUGUAUGGGGACUGCCCGAUAGAGGGGGAUAACUACUGGAAACGGUAGCUAAUACCGCAUACUAUCGGAUAACCCAUAUGGGAUUAGCUAGUAGUUGAGGUAAUGGCUCACCUAGGCGACGAUCCCUAGCUGUUCUGAGAGGAUGAUCAGCCACACGGGGAGUGAGAAACGGCCCAGACUCCUACGGAGGCAGCAGUGGGGAAUAUUGCACAAUGGGCGCAAGUCUGAUGCAGCCAUGCCGAGGGUAUGAAGAAGGCCCGAGGGUUGUAAAGUACGUUCAGUCGGGAGGCGUUACCGAAAGAAGAAGCACCGGCUAACUACGGGCCAGCAGCCGCGGUAAUAC